rnacentral:piRNA from 1 species
UGAGGAAACCUCAGGAAAAUGGAGCU